GACGAACGUUGGCGGCGUGCUUAAUACAUGCCAGUCAACUGAAGCAGUGGUAGCAAUAUCGCUGUGGAGGUGGCGCACGGGUGAGUAACACGUAGGUAAUCUGCCUUCAGGUCUGGCAUAACUCCGGGAAACCGGGGCUAAUAGCAGAUGAUGCAGCGGCUCGACAUCGAGACAGUUGUUAAAGCUAUGACGCCUGAAGAUGAGCCUGCGUCUGAUUAGCUAGUUGGCGGGGUAACGGCCCACCAAGGCAACGAUCAGUAGCUGGUCUGAGAGGAUGAUCAGCCACACUGAAACUGAGACACGGUCCAGACUCCUACGGGAGGCAGCAGUAAGGAAUAUUGCUCAAUGGGAGAAAUACUGAAGCAGCGACGCCGCGUGAGGGACGAAGGGCUUUUGCUUGUAAACCUCUGUAGUGAGAGAAAAAAAUCCCAAUCUUUGGGACAUGAUGGUAUCUCAAAAGUAAGCCCCGGCUAACUACGUG
rnacentral:rRNA from 1 species